rfam:Burkholderia multivorans ATCC 17616 DNA, complete genome, chromosome 1.
ACGACGAAACAGGGGUGCUUCGUGCGCGGCCGGCGGUGUUCCGGGCGGCGCGGCGAGGCUGAGAAAGACCCUUCGCACCCGAUCCGGGUAAUACCGGCGAGGGAAGUUUCUGAUCCCGCCGG